GUGGAAAAACUAAAGUUGUCAAAAAGAAAACUACAAAAAGUAAAAACUCAAAAAAAAAGAAUUCACCAUCCUCAAAGAGAAAAAAUGUUAAAUCUAAGAAAAGUAAAGUGUCAACGAAAAAAAAAACUACCAAGUCUAAGAAAAAAUCAAACAGCGUAAAGUCGACCAAAGGAAAAUCCAACAAGACUAAAAAAGUAAAAAAGAAGAGAAGCUCCAUUAGAAAAAAAUCGAAAAACAAUAAAAUAGGUUCAAAGGGUCAAAAGAAAAAAACUAACAAAAACGUGGUAAAAAAAAAAAAAGUCACAUACUAUGUCGAUGAAGAUGUAUCAUCGCCAUAUAGCAAAGGAAAUACUUAUGCUCUCAGUGGGAAAAACGGGAUUACGCGUUACGUGGUAAGAGAGGCUCCUAAGACGGAAAUACCGAAAUAUGUAAUAAAAAAACCAACUUGCAUCGAAUGUGAGAAGAAAUCGCAUCAUCAUAAAUGCAGUCAUGCUAAAAAUAAACAUCGCAAUAAGCCGGAUGAUCCAGUUUACAUGAAUUAUGGAUAUGGCUACAGUUAUUGGUGAUCAAACAGGUGACAGAAACGCCACGCCACAGAAAGACGGUUAAAAAGUGUUUCAAUAACAUGUUAUUAGUAUAAUAUUUAGAUAGUAAAUAUUAUUAGCACAGUUUUUGGAAAGAUGUAGUACAUACCAGUAGCUAAAUUAGUAUUAAUUAUUAGUAUACGGAUCAAUACUGAAAAGUGUAACAUAUUUAAAUAAAAUGCCGAUAAGGUGAUAACAUAUUAUGUCUACAAA